AGUGAACGCUGGCGGUAGGCCUAACACAUGCAAGUCGAACGGCAGCACAGUAAGAGCUUGCUCUUACGGGUGGCGAGUGGCGGACGGGUGAGGAAUACAUCGGAAUCUACUUUUUCGUGGGGGAUAACGUAGGGAAACUUACGCUAAUACCGCAUACGACCUACGGGUGAAAGCAGGGGAUCUUCGGACCUUGCGCGAUUGAAUGAGCCGAUGUCGGAUUAGCUAGUUGGCGGGGUAAAGGCCCACCAAGGCGACGAUCCGUAGCUGGUCUGAGAGGAUGAUCAGCAACAAUGGAACUGAGACAAGGUCCAGACUACUACGGGAGGAAGCAGUGGGGAAUAUUGGACAAUGGGCGCAAGCCUGAUCCAGCCAUACCGCGUGGGUGAAGAAGGCCUUCGGGUUGUAAAGCCCUUUUGUGGGGAAAGAAAAGCAGCAGGUUAAUACCCCGCUGUUCUGACGGUACCCAAAGAAUAAGCACAGGCUAACUUCGU
rnacentral:rRNA from 1 species